ACGUUGGAAAAAGGCGUUGCUCACACUUUUUAAAUCAAAUAAUCAUUUUCGGAUUGCACGUCGGAGAAAGCAUUAAUUAUAGAAUUAAACCAAAGCUUAUAUUUUUUUUUUGAUGAAAGGGAGGGCCGAAGCCCGGAAAAAGAAAUUACAUCUUAAUCAAGUGCGGAAAAGUAACCCCCGCUUGAUCAGCAGCUAACAAAUGGUUAAUUUGAGUCGGACACGACUCAUAAAACAUCAUCUCAUUCCCCAUGAUACAUCCAAUAUUAGCUAACGCAUCAGCGCACCUAUUUGCUUCACGAUACGAGUGUUUAACCUUCACUUCCCAUUCCAUUUGAAGAAGUUUUCUAAUUUUUUGAACAAGACUCCUACCACUCGCAUUGCUUUCCCCCCCACUCGUAAUAAUAUUCACAACCACCAAAGAAUCCAUAUUUAAUUCUACUGCAGUGAACCCUGUACGUUUUGCACACCGGAGACCUUCCAAAACUCCCCAUAGCUCUGCAAUAAAAGCAUCACUCUUCCCUAAAAAUUUGGAGAACCCCGCUAACCACUCGCCUUCCGAACCUCUGAUAAGUCCUCCACACCCCGCGAUACUACCAUCCUUACAAGCUCCGUCAGUAUUGAUCUUGACCCAUCCAAUCGCUGGUUCCUUCCAUCCCACUUCCUCUAAAUGUCUUGGCUGAGAUGUCACAGACUUUGCUAUAGCAUUGUGAUAGUAGAUUGCAUACAAUUAGUCAUAUAAUUGAUAAUAUAUUGAAAUCCUAUCUACCUUCAUCUAAUCCCAAACACAGAGAGAUUGGUUACCCACGAGUGAGGUAACAAGUAGAGAGAAGAAGAAUAACGAAGGAGGAACAUCAAAAAGCUUGAAUCCAAGCUCUAAUAAACUCCAACAGUGAUACACAACUUCUCACACUCUAUGCCUCCCUAUCCCUCUAAAAUGAGACUUAGCUAUCAAAAAUAUAUCUAAAAUUCUAAUUACAAUCUUAUUUAUAUAAGUACAAAAAGUGCAGGUUCGCUCUUGAGGUUUUUUCAAGUGGGGGAAAAAGCAUAGCUGAUCUCCAAAAGUUAUUAAACCGCCUUACUUUGCGGAACGAAGUGUUGCUUGCUCAACGAGUGUGUUGUAGCCUUUCUCCCUAUAACUCUUUGGAAUUGCUCGCCUAGCAAAGGUCCUCGCCCAUAAAUCCUUAAAACUCUCUAUCUUGACUCGUCUUCAUCUCGCAUGAGCUCGCCCAACAAAAUUACUUGUGUCCAUAUUCUUUGUUUUAUUGUAACCAUGUCUCGAACCUACAAAACUAAUGGAAGAUAAUUGGGGAUGGUGUUAUAUAUCUUACUUGUUAAACAAGUCAAUACGUGUUAAUGAAAAUAACAUGAUUUUGACACUUGUCAAUGGUGAGUGUUUGUCAAUAUGUUUCUUAUUUGAUGCAGAAGAUGCAACAAGAUUGAUAGAAGG
rnacentral:lncRNA from 1 species